rnacentral:tRNA from 1 species
UAGACAGAUGCUCGUUGGUUUGAGUAUUUAACUGUUAAUUAAAAGUUUGUAGGAUCGAAGCCUUCCUGUCUAG